UACGUAGGUCCCGAGCGUUGUCCGGAUUUAUUGGGCGUAAAGCGAGCGCAGGUGGUUUAUUAAGUCUGGUGUAAAAGGUAGUGGCUCAACCAUGGUAUGCAUUGGAAACUGGUAGACUUGAGUGCAGGAGAGGAGAGUGGAAUUCCAUGUGUAGCGGUGAAAUGCGUAGAUAUAUGGAGGAACACCGGUGGCGAAAGCGGCUCUCUGGCCUGUAACUGACACUGAGGCUCGAAAGCGUGGGGAGCAAACAGG
rnacentral:rRNA from 1 species